rnacentral:lncRNA from 1 species
CAUUUUUAAAUCUAUCUAUUCUUCAACAUUUAUCUAUUUCUAUUCUUUCUUCUACAUUAAAGAAGGGUUUGAGAGGACUAUAGGGUGACACAUGUCCCCUCUCAAAUCCUCUUUUAUUCUCUCUCUUUCGUCCUCCCAAACCCUCAGGACAUGUUUGGUUCAUGAUUGGAAUAGAAAUGAGAAAUGGAAUUGGAUUGUUUUGGAAUGAGAAAUGGAAUGAUGUAUCAUUCAAAAAUGUUUGGUUCAUUAUUGGAAUGGAAAUCGGAAUGAAAAUUUAAAAUUAUUGAGAGAAGGUUUUGAUUAAGAGAGAGAAAAGUGACGAAGGAAGAGGAGAUGGGUGUUGGUGAAAAAGAAUUUUGAAUAGUUUACUUUGGAAUGAGCUAAUCCGGAAUUCGAAGCCGGAUUGGAUCAUAAAUGGAUUUGGCCAUUCCCAUUCCGGAGUGGAAUGAGAAUCGGAAUCCGAUUCCUAUAAAAUAAACGACAACUAUUGGAAUCAAUGAAUUCCAUUCCGAUUCCAUAGUCUAAAAUAGGUGAACCAAACAUGCCGUCAAUGUAGAAAAUAUAUAUAGAAUUAGGCUAUUAUACUAUCUAUAGUACCGGAGCUCCGAUACUAUAGUCUUAUUUUCGAUCUUAGGGUGUUCAAAUUAAUGAUCCACACCGUUAAAUAUGAUCUAGGGUAUAUGAAGUUCUUACGAAUAAAAUUUUAGUUUUUUUCGACAUCGUUUACUUAGUAAAUAAAUUAUGUCAAAAUAGACGGUGUAAAUUGAAUAUUCUUUAAAAUUUGAGCAUAGGACUUUGAAAUUCAAGAUCAAGA